rnacentral:lncRNA from 1 species
UUAGACGAGCAGCUCAAGAUGGGGAGCAAGAAUAUGGCUCGGAUGCAAGACACUUUGUUGAGCGACAGUUUUAUGUUGACGACGGGCUCACGUCAGUUGCCACAGCAGAAGAUGCAAUCGACCUCGUGAGAACCAAAGACAUGUUAGCAGAAUUCAACCUACGACUUCAUAAAGUGGCCUCAAAUUGCAGUCAAGUGAUGGAAGCUUUCACUGCUGAAAAUCGAGCAAGCAAUCUUAAGGAUUUAGACCUCGAAAUGGAUCCUCUCCCUGUUCAGAGGAGCUUGGGACUUUGCUGGGACCUACAAACUGACAGCUUCACGUUCUCUGUGUCUGCGGAAGUCAAACCAUUCACACGAAGAGGAGUAUUAUCUACAGUCAACAGCUUGUAUGACCCCUUGGUUUUUGUGGCUCCUAUAAUAAUGCAGGGCAAAGCAAUAGUCAGGGAACUUUCGCCUGAACUGGUUCAGCUGGAACUGGACUGGGACGCUCCUCUGCCUGUAGGAAAGGAAAAGAUGUGGGUCUCAUGGAGAGACUCUUUAAAAGUCUUAAAAAGCCUCAAGGUUCCGAGGUGCUACAGUCCAGGUUCCUUAAAAUCAACGGAACAAAAAGAACUGUGCAUUUUCUCUGACGCCUCCAUUGUAGCUAUAGGAGCUGUAGCUUACCUGCAUACAGUCGAUAGUGAGGGACAUCACGUUGGAUUUGUAAUGGGGAAGUCAAAACUGGCCCCUCGCCCCGCACACACUGUCCCACGCCUCUUACUCUGUGCCGCUGUUCUGGCGGUGGAAAUAUUCGAGGUGAUUAGAGACGAAUUGGAUGUGAAGGUGGACAAUGUCAAGUUUUUGACUGAUAGUAAGAUUGUGUUGGGCUACAUACACAACGCUUCAAGAAGAUUCUACAUGUACGUUGCCAACCGUGUCACACGAAUUAGAUUGUCCACACACCCCAAUCAGUGGCAUUAUGUUCCAACUGAGCUAAAUCCAGCUGACCAAGCCACACGGUAUAUUCCAGCAGACCAACUCCAAGACAGCAACUUGUUUUCAGGCCCUGCCUUUCUGUAUAUCUGGGACAAUUCCUCAGAGUCACAUAAAGCCAGACUGUUUGGGCUGAUUGAA